rnacentral:rRNA from 1 species
GAUUUAGGUGAACUAUAGAAUACUCAAGCUAUGCAUCCAACGCGUUGGGAGCUCUCCCAUAUGGUCGACCUGCAGGCGGCCGCACUAGUGAUUCCUACGGGAGGCAGCAGUGGGGAAUAUUGCACAAUGGGCGCAAGCCUGAUGCAGCCAUGCCGCGUGUAUGAAGAAGGCCUUCGGGUUGUAAAGUACUUUCAGCGGGGAGGAAGGUGUUGAGGUUAAUAACCUCAGCAAUUGACGUUACCCGCAGAAGAAGCACCGGCUAACUCCGUGCCAGCAGCCGCGGUAAUAAUCCCGCGGCCAUGGCGGCCGGGAGCAUGCGACGUCGGGCCCAAUUCGCCCUAUAGUACUCGUAUUAA